rnacentral:rRNA from 1 species
UGAGGAAUAUUGGGCAAUGCCCGCAAGGGUGACCCAGCAACGCCGCGUGGAGGAUGAAUGUCGUAAGAUUGUAAACUCCUGUUAGAGGGGAAGAAUAGUACCGGUUGGACCGGUAUAUGACUGUACCCUCAGAGAAAGCCCCGGCUAACUACGUGCCAGCAGCCGCGGUAAUACGUAGGGGGCAAGCGUUGUCCGGAUUUACUGGGAGGAAAGGGCGCGCAGGCGGGAUAAAAAGUCAGUGGUGAAAUCCUACAGCUUAACUGUAGAACUGCCUUUGAUACUUUUAUUCUUGAGUUCGGGAGAGAGAGACGGAAUUCCAGGUGUAGUGGUGAAAUACGUAGAUAUCUGGAAGAACACCAGUUGCGAAGGCGGUCUCUUGAUCCGACACUGACGCUGAGGCGCGAAAGCGUGGGGAGCAAACA